GUACACUCCUGCGGGAGGCAGCAGUGGGGAAUAUUGCACAAUGGGCGCAAGCCUGAUGCAGCCAUGCCGCGUGUAUGAAGAAGGCCUUCGGGUUGUAAAGUACUUUCAGCGGGGAGGAAGGCGAUAAGGUUAAUAACCUUGUUGAUUGACGUUACCCGCAGGAGAAGCACCGGCUAACUCCGUGCCAGCAGCCGCGGUAAUACGGAGGGUGCAAGCGUUAAUCGGAAUUACUGGGCGUAAAGCGCACGCAGGCGGUCUGUCAAGUCGGAUGUGAAAUCCCCGGGCUCAACCUGGGAACUGCAUUCGAAACUGGCAGGCUAGAGUCUUGUAGAGGGGGGUAGAAUUCCAGGUGUAGCGGUGAAAUGCGUAGAGAUCUGGAGGAAUACCGGUGGCGAAGGCGGCCCCCUGGACAAAGACUGACGCUCAGGUGCGAAAGCGUGGGGAGCAAACAGGAUUAGAUACCCCAGUAGUCCCAU
rnacentral:rRNA from 1 species